UACGGGAAGGGCAAGCGUUGUCCGGAUUUAUUGGGUUUAAAGGGUGCGUAGGUGGCCUUAUAAGUCAGUGGUGAAAGCCUGCAGCUUAACUGUAGGACUGCCAUUGAAACUGUAAGGCUUGAGUAUUGAUGAGGUAGGCGGAAUUGAUAGUGUAGCGGUGAAAUGCAUAGAUAUUAUCAAGAACACCGAUUGCGAAGGCAGCUUACUAAGGAAUAACUGACACUGAGGCACGAAAGCGUGGGGAUCAAACAGG
rnacentral:rRNA from 1 species